rnacentral:rRNA from 1 species
GCACAAGCGGUGGAUGAUGUGGAUUAAUUCGAUGCAACGCGAAAACCUUACCUACCCUUGACAUGUCCGGAAUCCCGAAGAGAUUUGGGAGUGCUCGCAAGAGAGCCGGAACACAGGUGCUGCAUGGCUGUCGUCAGCUCGUGUCGUGAGAUGUUGGGUUAAGUCCCGCAACGAGCGCAACCCUUGUCAUUAGUUGCCAUCAUUUGGUUGGGCACUCUAAUGAGACUGCCGGUGACAAACCGGAGGAAGGUGGGGAUGACGUCAAGUCCUCAUGGCCCUUAUGGGUAGGGCUUCACACGUCAUACAAUGGUCGGUACAGAGGGUUGCCAACCCGCGAGGGGGAGCUAAUCCCACAAAGCCGAUCGUAGUCCGGAUCGCAGUCUGCAACUCGACUGCGUGAAGUCGGAAUCGCUAGUAAUCGCGGAUCAGCAUGUCGCGGUGAAUACGUUCCCGGGUCUU